rnacentral:rRNA from 1 species
AGUGGCGGACGGGUGAGUAACAUUUAGGAAUCUACCUAUUAGAGGGGGAUAGCCCGAGGAAACUCGGAAUAAUACCGCAUACACCCUAAGGGGGAAAGCAGGGGACUAUCUCGUAUAGCCUUGCACUAAUAGAUGAGCCUAAAUCGGAUUAGCUAGAUGGUGGGGUAAAAGCCUACCAUGGCGACGAUCCGUAGCUGGUCUGAGAGGACGAUCAGCCACAUCGGGACUGAGACACGGCCCGAACUCCUACGGGAGGCAGCAGUGGGGAAUAUUGGACAAUGGGGGCAACCCUGAUCCAGCAAUGCCGCGUGUGUGAAGAAGGCCUUCGGGUUGUAAAGCACUUUCAGACGCGAGGAAACGGUAGUAGUUAAUACCUGCUACAAUUGACGUUAACGUCAGAAGAAGCACCGGCUAACUCCGUGCCAGCAGCCGCGGUAAUACGGAGGGUGCGAGCGUUAAUCGGAAUUACUGGGCGUAAAGCGCGCGUAGGCGGAUUGAUAAGUCAGAUGUGAAAGCCCCGGGCUUAACCUGGGAACUGCAUUUGAUACUGUCAGUCUUGAGUAUGGUAGAGGUAAGCGGAAUUUCCAGUGUAGCAGUGAAAUGCGUAGAGAUUGGAAGGAAUAUCGAUGGCGAAGGCAGCUUACUGGGCCAAUACUGACGCUGAGGUGCGAAAGCGUGGGUAGCGAGCGGGAUUAGAUACCCCGGUAGUCCACGCUGUAAACGAUGCCAACUAGGUGUAGGGGUCUUGAACUUCUGUGCCGCAGCUAACGCAUUAGGUUGGCCGCCUGGGGAGUACGCACGCAAGUGUAAAACUCAAAGGAAUUGACGGGGACCCGCACAAGCGGUGGAGCAUGUGGUUUAAUUCGAUGCAACGCGAAGAACCUUACCUGGCCUUGACAUCUAGCGAAGAUUUUAGAGAUAGAAUUGUGCCUUCGGGAACGCUAAGACAGGUGUUGCAUGGCUGUCGUCAGCUCGUGUCGUGAGAUGUUGGGUUAAGUCCCGCAACGAGCGCAACCCUUAUCCUUAUUUGCCAGCACGUUAUGGUGGGAACUCUAAGGAGACUGCCAGUGACAAACUGGAGGAAGGCGGGGACGACGUCAAGUCAUCAUGGCCCUUACGACCAGGGCUGCACACGUGCUACAAUGGUAGGCACAAAGGGAAGCUACACGGCGACGUGAUGCCAAUCUCAAAACACCUAUCUCAGUCCAGAUUGGAGUCUGCAACUCGACUCCAUGAAGUCGGAAUCGCUAGUAAUCGCGGAUCAGAAUGUCGCGGUGAAUACGUUCCCGGGCCUUGUACACACCGCCCGUCACACCAUGGGAGUUGAUUGCACCAGAAGUAGUUAGCCUAACUUAGGAGGGCGAUUACCACGGUGUGGUUAAUGACUGGGGUGAAGUCGUAACAAGGUAACC